rfam:Gossypium raimondii Chr05_contig_1355, whole genome shotgun sequence.
UAUUAAAAUUUUCAUCUAUUUGUACUGUUAAAAAUUAGUGCGAUUGACGAAAUAACCAGACACGCCAUGUAUACCUCACAUUGAUGUAUAAUGACAAAUUUUUAACAGUAAAAAUAGAUAAAAUUUUCAACA